UUUGAGCAGCAGUUUUUCCACUAUUUGCACACUGGGCCAGCACAGCGAGAACACAGAUUAAUGAUCACCUCCAGACAGCAGCGUAUCAUCAAUACAGCUCAUUAUCAUUUUACAGAAGAACUUUGCGUCAGUCGCCAGUAGUCGGGUUACGGUAACUGAUGGCCCACCUCUAGAGUUUUCAACAGCCAAGAGAUUUCAAGUCGGUCCCUGAUGCGCUUUAAUUCAAAACAGGCAAAGGUUUGCGAGGGAGCGCGGUGUGAAUUCUGAGAUAAAAACACACUGGCUUCGCCACAGUACGGUGCAGAACAACUGAGCCGAUCUUUUCACAGCUGCUGCCGUAAUCCCAAGGGUGGCCAGAAUGGCAUACAGUACUCCAGAAGAGGCCUCACCAACAUCCUGUACAACCUCAACAUAACUCCUAUGCUCAGAGGUCUAAGCAAAGAAGCUGAAGUUAGAGCUGAACAUUGAACGACCAAGACUUAAGGCUGGAACCUAUAUUGAACUACAGCAACCACGAUGGAGGAACCACAAUAAGAAGGAAAAACCAAAGGGAAAUCUGCCCCUUUUCAUUUUUAAGAGGAAGCCUCGCUGUCUAAGAUUUCAGUCUUGCAGCAGAAAACUCAAGAUUUCAGCUCCAGCAGCCAGCAAAGAAAACACCAACUAACUGAAGGGAAAAACCAAAAUCCUUUUGGGGCUGUUUAAGCCUGACCAUUCACGAUUCUUUUGUUACUAAACAAAAAGCACCCAGGGAGAGCUCAAAGCAGUUUACCAACUGCCUGUCUAUAGGAGACAUUUCAGCAUCACUGUGACAACAUCUCUCUGCAAAAGAAAUAGUGCAGAACACAUCUCUUAAACGCACAGUAUCGCCACACCACUCUUUCAAGGAUACAUCACUCUGGCGACCUCCAAGUGAAGCGAAGCUGUUGUCUCCUGCUUUCUAUUUAUAUGUUUGUCCUGGAUGGGGUU